GGCAGUUCUUGGGUGACACACCCCGGAAUUGGGCUCCUCCUCCGGGGUGCAUCACCCAAGAACCACA
rfam:Myotis lucifugus cont2.25701, whole genome shotgun sequence.